CAGGGAUUGCCCUAGUAACGGCGAGUGAAGCGGCAACAGCUCAAAUUUGAAAUCUGGCUUCGGCCCGAGUUGUAAUUUGCAGAGGAUGUUUCUGGCGCGGUGCCUUCCGAGUUCCCUGGAACGGGACGCCACAGAGGGUGAGAGCCCCGUAUGGUUGGACACCAAGCCUGUGUGAAACUCCUUCGACGAGUCGAGUAGUUUGGGAAUGCUGCUCAAAAUGGGAGGUAAAUCUCUUCUAAAGCUAAAUACCGGCCAGAGACCGAUAGCGCACAAGUAGAGUGAUCGAAAGAUGAAAAGCACCUUGAAAAGGGGGUUAAACAGUACGUGAAAUUGUUGAAAGGGAAGCACUUGUGACCAGACUUGUGCCGGGCGGUUCAUCCGGGGUUCUCCCCGGUGCACUCCGCCCGGUAUAGGCCAGCAUCGGUUCUCUCUGGGGGAUAAGAACGGUGGGAACGUGGCCCUCCCUCGGGAGGGUGUUAUAGCCCGCCGUACGAUAUCCUGGAGGGGACCGAGGUUCGCGCUCCGCAAGGAUGCUGGCGUAAUGGUCACCAGUGACCCGUCUU
rnacentral:rRNA from 1 species